rnacentral:rRNA from 1 species
AUUGAACGCUGGCGGCAGGCUUAACACAUGCAAGUCGAGCGGGGGAGGUUGCUUCGGUAACUGACCUAGCGGCGGACGGGUGAGUAAUACUUAGGAAUCUGCCUAUUAAUGGGGGACAACAUCUCGAAAGGGAUGCUAAUACCGCAUACGCCCUACGGGGGAAAGCAAGGGAUCACUUGUGACCUUGCGUUAAUAGAUGAGCCUAAGUCGGAUUAGCUAGUUGGUGGGGUAAAGGCCUACCAAGGCGACGAUCUGUAGCGGGUCUGAGAGGAUGAUCCGCCACACUGGGACGGAGACACGGCCCAGACUCCUACGGGAGGCAGCAGUGGGGAAUAUUGGACAAUGGGCGAAAGCCUGAUCCAGCCAUGCCGCGUGUGUGAAGAAGGCCUUUUGGUUGUAAAGCACUUUAAGCGAGGAGGAGGCUACCGAGAUUAAUACUCUUGGAUAGUGGACGUUACUCGCAGAAUAAGCACCGGCUAACUCUGUGCCAGCCGCCGCAGUAACAC